GACGAACGCUGGCGGCGUGCUUAACACAUGCAAGUCGAACGGAAAGGCCCUGCUUUUGUGGGGUGCUCGAGUGGCGAACGGGUGAGUAACACGUGAGUAACCUGCCCUUGACUUUGGGAUAACUUCAGGAAACUGGGGCUAAUACCGGAUAGGAGCUCCUGCUGCAUGGUGGGGGUUGGAAAGUUUCGGCGGUGGGGGAUGGACUCGCGGCUUAUCAGCUUGUUGGUGGGGGAGUGGCUUACCAAGGCUUGGACGGGUAGCCGGCAUGUGAGGGGGACCAGCCACAUGGGGACUGAGAUACGGCCCAGACGCCUAUGGGAGGCAGCAGGGGGGAAUAUGGCACAAUGGGGGGAAGUCUGAUGCAGCAACGCUGCGUGUGGGAUGACGGCCUGUGGGGUGUAAACCGCUUUCGCCUGUGACGAAGCGUGAGUGACGGUAAUGGGUAAAGAAGCACCGGCUAACUACGUG
rnacentral:rRNA from 1 species